GGCAGACAGAUGGUCAUUCUUAAUGGCUCUAAUGCCUUUUGUUCUCUUCUUAUCCCCUCUUUCCAUUUACUUAUAAAUUCAUAAAAUCAUAAUCAUUAUCAAGCGGGAUAGUUAAUCUAUCAGGCCGAUGGUGUUUCGCUCAAGUUGCUGGAGCUUGCUCGCUGGAAAAAUAUGCAUCACUGCACCAUCCUCUUCAAUUUUCUCCAACGAUCUAGCACAGAUCAAUUUUCAUUAUUCCAGUUGAAGGAUACGGCCAACAAUAUCACGUAGAUCAAUUGGUUGAUUUGUCAUCUACAUAUUCAGAUCUAAGAAGAAUAUAACUCACCAAGUUUGCAAGUUGAGUAACACUUUCAAAUUGGAUGGGUAUGUUCACCCAAUUAUGUUUUCUAAUUUGUAUUUCAGUUCUGAUCUUUACCUGGUGAGGAUAUCUUCAAUCUUAGAAAUAGAUUGGAUUGGCUUCUGUCUCAAAUAUAUAUGUCAAUUCAUUUCGCUGUCAGAGCAUCGAGCUGCUCCCAUUAAGGCCGUGUGAAAUAUGUGAAUGGAUAUGAAAUAUGUGAUCAAAAUGAAUGUUAUGUGAAUAUGGUUGUGUUAAAUAUAUUGAUGGUUGUGU
rnacentral:sRNA from 1 species